rnacentral:rRNA from 1 species
CCUACGGGAGGCAGCAGUAGGGAAUCUUUCACAAUGGGCGAAAGCCUGAUGGAGCAACGCCGCGUGCAGGAUGAAGGCCUUCAGGUUGUAAACUGCUUUUAUAAGCGAGAAAUGUGAUGGUAACUUGUGAAUAAGGAUCGGCUAACUACGUGCCAGCAGCCGCGGUCAUACGUAGGAUCCGAGCAUUAUCCGGAGUGACUGGGUGUAAAGAGUUGCGUAGGUGGCAUAAUAAGUAGCUAGUGAAAUCUGUUGGCUCAACCAUUCAGACUAUUAGCUAAACUGUUAAGCUCGAGACCGUUAGGGGUAACUGGAAUUUCUAGUGUAGGAGUGAAAUCCGUAGAUAUUAGAAGGAACACCAAUAGCGUAGGCAGGUUACUGGGAUGGUUCUGACACUAAGGCACGAAAGCGUAGGGAGCAAACGGGAUUAGAUACCCCUGUAGUC